GACGAACCGUCCAACCGUUAUUCGGAAUUAUUGGGCUUAAAGGGUGCGUAGGCUGUGCAGUAAGUUGGGUGUGAAAUCCCUCGGCUCAACCGAGGAACUGCGCCGAAUACUGCUGUGCUAGAGGAAGAUAGGGGUAAGCGGAACUGAUGGUGGAGCGGUGAAAUGCGUUGAUAUCAUCAGGAACACCGGUGGCGAAGGCGGCUUACUGGAUCUUUUCUGACGCUGAUGCACGAAAGCUAGGGGAGCGAACGGG
rnacentral:rRNA from 1 species